CAGCUGUUCACAACUCGUUCUUCCGGCUCUCCACUGAAAGUCGUCCCCCUGCCGGUUUCUUUUUUCUGCCUUCUUGUUUCCCUCCGGCGAGUCAGCGCGAUGGUGAAUUUCCGUUUCCAGUGGUUUCCUUGCGGACUUUAGGGAGUUGAGAUUGUGAUUUGAUUCAGUGCGUGGCUGUGGUUAGAGUUACUUGUUAUUGGUAAAUAGCCACUAUGGAGGAUAAGGAACAGAAGGAACACAGAAAGAAAAACAGUGGGCCCAAAAUUGAAAAGAAAAAGAAGCGGCAUCUGCAGGAUCUCCAGCUAGGAGACAAAGAAGAUUCCCAGAAGAGAAAUCCCAAAGCUUUUGCAGUUCAGUCUGCUGUGUGGAUGGCUCGACCCUUUCACAGAACUCAGGAUUUGAAGACAAAGAAGCAUCAUAUUCCAGUGGUUGAUCGAACUCCACUAGAGCCCCCACCAAUAGUGGUGGUGGUGAUGGGGCCUCCAAAAAGUUGGAAAGAAAACUUUGAUACAAUGCCUCAUUCGGAACUUCACCUGGCAGAAUUUGACGGAGAUCAGAGGCCCAGUGACAAUCAUGUCAGGUAGGAGAUGCUGCCACAGACACAGUUGGUGUGGCUGUUGUCAUCUAAGGAACAUGCAUGUGUUUGUUGUUUUCUUGUGGAACAUAUUAAAGAUUGUACUGAUGCUUAUAGAUGCCAGCUUUGGGUUUGAAAUGGAAACGUUUGAGUUUCUAAACAUCUGUCAAGUACAUGGCUUCCCUAAAAUUAUGGGAGUUCUCACCCACCCGGACUCCUUCAAGCAUAAUAAGCAACUGAAGAAGACAAAGAAGCAAUUAAAACACAGGUUCUGGAGAGAAGUUUACCUAGGUGCAAAGCUCUUCUACCUUUCUGGAAUGGCGCAUAGAGAAUAUCAAAACCAAGAAAUCCACAACAUGGGCCGUUUUAUUACAGUUACGAAGUUUAGGCCUCUCACAUGGAAAACUCACCCUUAUAUCCUGACAGACAGGAUGGAAGAUUUGACAAACACAGAGGAUAUCCGAACAAACAUCAAAUGUGACCGGAAGGUGUCACUUUAUGGUUAAGAGGAGCGCACUUGAAAAAUAAAAGCCAGAUUCACAUGCCAGGUGUAGGAGAUUUCACCAUGAGUGACGUAUUUCCUCCCAGACCCUUGUGCUCUUCCUGAACAACAGAAGUGCUGUUUAAAUGAGAAGAAGCAGCUGGUUUAUGCACCUCUUUCUGGAGUUGGGGGUGUGCUGUGCGAUAAAGAUGCUGUCUAUGUUGACCUUGGUGGCAGCCACGAUUUUCAGGCAUUGGACGAAGUGGGGUCCACCCAUGAGCUGGUCCAGAGUCUCAUCUCCACCCAUUCCACCAUUGAUGCCAAGAUGGCUUCAAGUCGAGUGAUGUUGUUUUCUGAUUCCAAGGCACUUGGGUUGGAGGAUAUAGAUAGUCAAGGGGUGUUGAUGCCAAAGGAGGAAAAACAAACGGACUUGAAAAUUGGUCGAAUGUGUUGGAAAGCCACUUUUGGUGAGGAAGAUGGAUCUGGAGAUAGUGACGAUGAAGAUGAUGAUGAAAUGUCUGAAGAUGACAGGUUGGAAAAUGGCUCUAGUGAUGAGGAAGCAGACAAGGAGGAAAAUGCUGAGGUGACUGAUGAGUGUAUGACUGCUAAGGGCAUCAAACGAUGGAAACUUGAGGAGUUAGAAGAAGACAGUGAAGUAGAUUUGCCAGCAUUUGCUGACAGUGAUGAUGACCUUGAGAGGAGCUCAGCAGAAGAAGGGGAAGCGGAGGAAGCUGAUGAAAGCAUUGUGGAAGAGGACUGCACUGCAGGAAAGAGGGGCAUUUCAGGAUCAAAGGCUGUUGGAGAAGCUAGUAAAACAGAGCUGUCGCCAGCUAAUCACCAGAGUGACCAUGUGAAUCUGGAGAAGUCUUUGCUGAUGAAGAAAGCAGCCCUCACCAUUUCUGAUUCUGGGCAUUGCACAGCUGAAGAGGUGUUUGCAUCUGAAGAUGAAUCUGAAGAAAGCUCCUCGCUCAGUACAGAGGAAGAGGACUCAGAAAAUCAAGAAGCUCUUAGGAAAAAGCUUUCAAGGCCUUCUCAGGUGGGCAGUGGUCAGAAACUGGGGUCAAGGAACUUAAUUGAUGAGACCAGUGAUACAGAGAUUUACUCAAAGAGGAAGAAGAUUUCAAUGAAGAGAAGAAGAAUACCACAGAAACCUCAGGUGCCCUCAAGUGGAAGGAAGACCUUUCCAGAAAGGCAGCUGAGGCAUUUCUGAGGCAGCAGCAAGCAGCUCCAAACCUCAAAAAGCUUAUUUAUGGGACAGGUAAAGAAUUCUGAGAUAAUGAAGAAGAUGAUGAUACUCAAGAAGAGUUUGGAGGGUUAUUUUGUGUCACCCAGCCUGACAGAGAGUGUAAACACAAGGCCGACUCUUUGGACUGCUCCAGAUUUCUUGUGGAGGCGCCCCAUGACUGAAAUUUAGAGGAGGUCAUGAACAGCAUCAGAGAUUGCUUCGUGACUGGAAAGUGGGAAGACGAUAAAGAUGCAGCCAAGAUCUUAGCAGAAGAUGAGGAGCUCUAUGGUGACUUUGAAGACGUGGAAACAGGGUAUGUGCACAAGGGGAAAUCAGGCCCCAUUACUCAGAAUGAAGAUGUAGAGAAAGAAGUUAAGGAAGAAAUUGACCCCAAUGAAGAGGAAAGUGCCAAGAAAAAGCAUUUGGAUAAGAAGAGAAAAUUGAAGGAGAUGUUUGAUGCAGAAUAUGAUGAAGGAGAAAGCACAUAUUUUGAUGAUCUCAAAGGAGAAAUGCAGAAACAAGCAGAGCUGAACUGUGCAGAAUUUGAGGAUCAAGAUGAUGAAGCCAGAGUUCAGUAUGAGGGUUUUUGACCUGGUAUGUACGUCUGCAUUGAGAUUGAAAAUGUUCCCUGCAAAUUUGUGCAGAACUUUGACCCCCAUUACCCCAUUAUCCUGGGUGGCUUGGGCAACAGUGAGGGCAAUGUUGGAUACGUGCAGAUGCAUCUGAAGAAACAUCGCUGGUAUAAGAAAAUCCUCAAGUUCCAAGAUCCAGUCAUAUUUUCUGUAGGGUGGAGGAGCUUUCAGACCAUCCCACUCUGUUAUAUCGAAGACCACAAUGGAAGACAAAGGCUUCUAAAGUACACGACACAGUACAUGCAUUGCAGAGCAACCUUUUUAGGCCCUGUCACUCCACAGGGAACUGGUUUCUUGGCAGUGCAGUCUGUCAGUGGCAUAAUGCCUGAUUUCCGGAUAACUGCCGCAGGAGUUGUCCUUGAUCUGGAUAAAUCCAUAAAAAUUGUGAAGAAAUUAAAGCUAACUGGUUUUCCAUAUAAAAUUUUCAAGAACACUUCAUUUAUUAAGGGAAUGUUUAAUUCUGCCUUGGAAGUGGCCUAAUUUGAAGGUGCUAUGAUUCGAACUGUCAAUGGGAUAAGGGGGCAGAUCAAGAAAGCGCUCCGGGCUCCAGAAGGAGCUUUCCGGGCCAGCUUUGAGGAUAAGCUGCUGAUGAGCGCUAUUGUCUUCAUGCGAACUUGGUAUCCAGUUUCAAUCCCAGCCUCCUAUAACCCAGUAACAUCUUUGUUGAAACCAGUGGGUGAAAAAGACACCUGUUCAGGAAUGCGGACCACAGGUCAACUCAGGCUCGCCCAUGGCAUCAGACUAAAGGCACACAAGGACUCUCUGUAUAAGCCAAUCCUGAGGCAAAAGAAACAUUUUAAUUCACUGCACAUUCCAAAAGCCUUGCUGAAGGCCCUGCCAUUUAAGAACAAGCCCAAGACCCAAGCAAAGGCAGGCAAGGUGCCGAAGGACAGGCGGAGACCAGCCGUCAUACGCGAGCCUCAUGAAAGAAAGAUCCUCACGCUGCUGGAUGCUCUGAGUACCGUGCAUAGUCAGAAGAUGAAGAAGGUCAAGGAGCAGCAGCACCUACACAAUAAAGAGCACUUCAGAGCCAAGCAGAAGGAGGAAGAGGAGAAGCUGAAGUGGCAGAAGGACCUCAGGAAGAAGCUCUUCCGAAUUCAGGGGCAGAAGGAAAGAAGAAACCAGAAGUCUAGUUUGAAGGGGGCUGAGGGGCAACUGCAGUGAGCCUUUGGACUGGGUGGAUCUGCGGAGGUAGACAGUUUCAAACAUCACAGUUGGAAUGCUUAUGAAUGACAAGUCGGGGCAAGAGCCCAAGAGAUGUCUUUACCCAGGCUAUGCCUGUGAGAGGAGGAACAGAGAAGCCUGGGCUGCUGGGACCCGCGUUCAUUCUCAGCACCUGGGGCUGUCAAGAUUUAAAGUGCUAUAGCUGUGGUUGUGUGGAUUCUCCUACUUCCCUCUGCCUGCCUCAGUUUAGUUAUUUGUGCUAUAAAAAUAUCAUUAAAAUAUUUUUUUUUUGUUAGUUGUGA